AGAAUCAACGCUGGCGGCGUGCCUAACACAUGCAAGUCGCACGAGAAAGGGACUUCGGUCCUGAGUAAAGUGGCGCACGGGUGAGUAACACGUGAAUAAUCUACCUCCGAGUGGGGAAUAACUGAGAGAAAUCUUAGCUAAUACCGCAUAACACUUACGAGUCAAAGCAGCAAUGCGCUUGGAGAGGAAUUCGCGGCAGAUUAGUUAGUUGGCGGGGUAAUGGCCCACCAAGACGAUGAUCUGUA
rnacentral:rRNA from 1 species